CAGGUCAGCUGGUGUCGAGUCUGAGAGUCAUCUCUUGAUGACGCUCAGAAUUGCAGGGCUCAUUCAGCUUCUCUGAGUGUUCCAAGGAAUGAAAGGAGCUGAGCUGUGGGAAGUGACUUCCUGAAGGAUAAACCGGCAGCAAGGCCACAUGAGUGGGACCCAGAGCACGUGCAGGGGAGAGAAGCCAGUUUGGGGGCGUCGGAAAUCCCAUGGAAAACUAAAUUCAGGGCACCCAGAGUUUUGCCCUGACAUCGUGUGUCUGGAUCUCUGUUACCAGACUGAUGUUUGACUGGCCUAUCGGGGCUGAAGAGGAGAGAGAAGUUCUACCCCAGAGCCUGAUUUUGUUCCUGCUGGGAUCUCCGACCCGGGAACAAAGCCACAGAUCCGUGGACAAAUGUCCCUGGACCAGCGUGCCUUGCUCAAGUUCAAGCAGAAGCUAAAUUGAGGGGGCAGCACUAGUGUGACUCCAAGUCUCUUGGACAUCAGUAAAUCCUCCUCUCAAUCCACACACCAAUGCAGUUAGAACAGUCUGCUGUGUUCUGCUCCAGCUAAUACGUCUAAAGGAUGUUGACUGACAAUGGGGACCCGAAUAACAGGAGGAGGAAACUGUGGGAAACCAUCCAUCUACGUCAGUGCUUCUCAGCCUUCCUCAUGCUGCGACCCUUUAAUACAGUUCCUCAUGUUGUGGUGACCGCCCACCACCAUAAAAUUAUUUUUGUGCGAUUUCAUCGCUGCAAUUUUGCUACCGUUCGGAAUCAGGCGACCCCUGUGAAAGGGUCGUUCGAUUCUCAAAGGGGUCUCGAGGCUUAGGUUUGAGAACCGCUGAUCUACGUGAACCCGUGUAAGAGUUGAGCAUUUCCAUUUCAUCGACACUCAGCAGGAAAACACCCUCCAGCCCAUCAGUCCACUGGUGUUAGAGUGACCACAGCUCUGUUGAGCGUUUUCACGAGGCUACUUCUUUACCCGUAAUGAAUCCCAGCGACUCAUGAGCAUCCGUUCAUGAGAUGGUCUCCCUGUAACUGGGUCUUAAUGGUCUUGGCUCCAUCCCAUGCAUCCCAAAGGAAAAGUUUAAUUCCCUAUGCAAGCAACAGCCCCUCAGAUCUCUGAGGCCAUUAACCUCUAGAUCCUACCUACCCCCACCCCCAAUAUCCUCACCCAUCUUCUUCCUCUACAUCCAACAAGCAAAUGUUCCCUAAGCAUUGUGCAUGUGACAAGGAAAACCCUCAGAGAGCUGGGUUGACACAGAAUGAGCUCAACCAUGAACAGCAAUUGUGACAACGUUCAGGAAGCAGGCAGUGUUUCCUUCUGUUGUACAUAGGGCCUCUAUGGGUCAAGACGUACUCCAUGGCACCCGGAAAUAGUCAUAAUCAUACGGUAAACUCCAAGUCUCAUCUGCCAUCACAGCUUUCACCAGAGAGAUUAGGCGGCUAAUUUAUAAAUGCUCACUUCAUUUCCCUUCCCUUGGCCCUUUCCCAGGGAGCUCUGAAGUGAGGAAAACAAGUCAAUAAAAAACCCAUUGGAUAA